CUUAGUGGCAGUAAAUCUUCAUCUCUUUGUGAGUGUAUUUGAUAUUUUGCAACAGCAACAAAUCAUUUGGAGCCAAGUCUAGUGGACAAGGACUUGUGGCUUUUGCUUCUUUGUGGUCAGAUUUUACUUCAACAACCAGCCAGUUCCAGGGAGCCUCAUCUUGUUACUGAUUUCUCCUUAACCUAGUUAAAAAAAUCAUCAUUGAAUAUUUAAAUUAAAAACUUUAAAGUUCAA